UACGGAGGGGGCUAGCGUUGUUCGGAAUUACUGGGCGUAAAGCGCACGUAGGCGGCUUUGUAAGUUAGAGGUGAAAGCCCGGGGCUCAACUCCGGAAUUGCCCUUAAGACUGCAUCGCUAGAAUUGUGGAGAGGUAAGUGGGAUUCCGAGUGUAGAGGUGAAAUUCGUAGAUAUUCGGAAGAACACCAGUGGCGAAGGCGACUUACUGGACACAUAUUGACGCUGAGGUGCGAAAGCGUGGGGAGCAAACAGG
rnacentral:rRNA from 1 species